CGUCGGUCCCUCUCCUCCGAAAAAAUAUCAAUAAGACUUUCUUGUUCCUUGUUUAAUUCCUCAAUUUUUUGUUGCGCCUCCUUUAACUGCAUCUCAAGUGAUUUACACUUUCCACACUGCAAAUCAUGCCUCGAUUCACCUUGAAACUUUGCUUCACUUUUCUCUAAUCUUUCUUUCAGCUUACGGUUCUCUUGCUUCAGUUGAUCAAUAAAGCGUAAAUCUGAUUCUGAAAGGGCACGUUGACAAUGAUCAACAUCACCUACCUUUGAAUUGGAUAGUGUGAC
rnacentral:misc_RNA from 1 species